GACGAACGCUGGCGGCGUGCUUAACACAUGCAAGUCGAACGGAAAGGGCCUGCUCUUGCGGGGUGCUCGAGAGGCGAACGGGUGUGUAACACGCGUGUACCCUCUCCUUGACACUCGGAGAUCUUCAGGAAAAAGGGGCUAUUAUCGGGUAGGAGCCCCGGCUGCACGGUGUGGGCGGGUAAGAUGCGGCGGUUGGGGAUGGGCUCGCGGCUUAUCAGCUUGUUGGUGGGGUAGUGGCUUACCAAGGCGUGGACGGGUAGCCGGCCUGAGAGGGUGACCGGCCACAUUGGGACUGAGAUACGGCCCAGACUCCUACGGGAGGCAGCAGUGGGGAAUAUUGCACAAUGGGCGGAAGCCUGAUGCAGCAACGCCGCGUGCGGGAUGACGGCCUUCGGGUUGUAAACCGCUUUCGCCUGUGAAGAAGCGAAAGUGACGGUACUUGGUAAAAAAGCACCGGCUAACUACGUG
rnacentral:rRNA from 1 species